rnacentral:antisense_RNA from 1 species
CUUCACCGACCCGAGCCACAGCGGCCGGUCGGCGGAACGGUCCUUGCCGUACGUCGCCAGCAGCGCCUGCGCCUC